UCACCAUAAUCAAAAUCAAACAUCAUACUUGACAAUAGAGAAAAAUAAAUAAAUCAUGAAAUACUCAAAUUUUCAUGUCACGCUUUGCGAAGUUGUUCCGACUUUCAUCUCUGAGGGCAGAUACAGAUUUUUAACUGUCCAUAUGGAAUGACCAGAGCAGAUACAGAUAAUAGCAAUUUGCUCAAGCACAUCUCAAGCUUGCCAAAUCAUGGUAGGACUAUGACCACAGUUGUACCAAGCAUAGUUGUGUUAUAAA
rnacentral:lncRNA from 1 species